UCCCUCAGUUCCUCCCUCUAAACCUUACUUUGAGCUGGAGACCACAGASCCAUGGGUAGCAGGGAAAAGCUACACUGUCACAUGCAUCGCUCCAGACGCCAAACCAGAGGCAGUGAUCACUCUGUUUAAAGAUGGAGUUGAGCUGACAGGUGUUAGAGUCUUUCCCUAUGCCUGGCUCUGAGGACAAGCUCCAGAACACACACGCUACAAAAGAGUUCAUGUUCUUAAGCAGUUCAGACAACGGGAGGGAAGCUG